rnacentral:rRNA from 1 species
GAUGAACGCUAGCUACAGGCUUAACACAUGCAAGUCGAGGGACCGGCGCACGGGUGAGUAACACGUAUACAACCUGCCCUUUACUCGGGGAUAGCCUUUCGAAAGAAAGAUUAAUACCCGAUGUAAAGGAUGGGGAUGCGUUACAUUAGGUUGUUGGGAAGGUAACGGCGCACCAAGCCUUCGAUGGAUAGGGGUUCUGAGAGGAAGGUCCACCACAUGGGAACUGAGACACGGUCCAAACGCCGACGGAAGGCAGGAGUGAGGAAUAUUGGUCAAUGGGCGUUAGCCUGAACCAGCCAAGUAGCGUGAAGGAUGAAGGCUUAUGGGUCGUAAACUUCUUUUAUAUAAGAAUAUGUAUUAUAUGAAUAAGGAUCGGCUAACUCCGUGCCAGCAGCCGCGGUAAUAC